ACUCAAAGGAAUUGACGGGGACCCGCACAAGCGGUGGAGCAUGUGGUUUAAUUCGAAGCAACGCGAAGAACCUUACCAAGUCUUGACAUCCCUCUGACAGACGAGUAAAGUCGUCAUUCCUUCGGGACAGAGGAGACAGGUGGUGCAUGGUUGUCGUCAGCUCGUGUCGUGAGAUGUUGGGUUAAGUCCCGCAACGAGCGCAACCCUUAUUCUUAGUAGCCAGCAGGUGAAGCUGGGCACUCUAGGGAGACUGCCAGGGAUAACCUGGAGGAAGGUGGGGAUGACGUCAAAUCAUCAUGCCCCUUAUGAUUUGGGCUACACACGUGCUACAAUGGCGUAAACAAAGGGAAGCGACCCCGCGAGGGUAAGCAAAUCUCAAAAAUAACGUCUCAGUUCGGAUUGUAGUCUGCAACUCGACUACAUGAAGCUGGAAUCGCUAGUAAUCGCGAAUCAGAAUGUCGCGGUGAAUACGUUCCCGGGUCUUGUACACACCGCCCGU
rnacentral:rRNA from 1 species